CACCAAUGCAUCACCAAAAAGAUGACUAGCAACCCAUAUGAAUUAAGAUAUCACUCCAUUUCAAGGUAUCCAUAGACUGAAAAGCUAGUUUUUUGCAUAAAUACCACAAGUUUCUGAACCAAAAAUAGGAUCCAAGCAACAUUCAUAGUACGACUAACAGCAAAUGAUCCUCAACAGAGCAAAAUUAAAGCUCCUCAUGACAUUCAUAGAAACAGCAGGACUACCCAGAGAGGAGUAAGUUUCUUGAUUGCCACCAGUAGAGUUGGAAGAUAGCCUACAGCCUCCUUCCCCUCCUUCCUCCCUUCCGGCGGGUGCUGUCAGUGGGAACUGGAGUCACGUCCUCUGCAGCACAAGAACAAGCAUUAUGGUCAGGCAUAUGCAGACACAAUCCUCUUUGAUUCGCAGGAUUGUAAAAACAUGGGAAUAGGAAAAACAUAGGAUUGAAAUGUCAUGCUCAUCUCAAUCCUAUAGGAUUUUAGGUUGUUUGAUUGCAUCAUAGGAAAAACGAAGGAUUCUUUCAAAGAGGUUUGACUGGAUGCUAGAAAUCCUAUGGGAAGUAGUACAAAAAAUUUCUUAGGAAAAAAUCCUAUAGGAUUCAAUCCUAUGAAUCAAACAACCAAUAUAGGAAAAUUUCCUAAGAUUCUAAUCCUCCAAAAUUCCUAUGCAAAUCCUUUGAAUCAAAGGAACCCUAAGAUGGGACAUAUGUGCUUCCACAAACACUAUAUCAGAAAGCGUUGCGUACCAAUGCGCCCAAUUUUCAUCCCAGAACGAGCAAGAGCCCUGAGAGCAGACUGAGCUCCAGGUCCAGGUGUCUUGGUCUUGUUGCCUCCAGUGGCACGGAGCUUAAUGUGCAGUGCGGUAAUACCAAGCUCCUGAAAGAACAGAAUAAACUCUGAGACAAAGCAUCUCAAGGGAGCAAUGCAGCACUACAUCCUAGUCAUGUACCGGCAUUCCAAGCAUCAGUCUAAUGAAGAGAAUACAACUGGUAAUAGGCACAGCUGAAAGUGAAGCCUUGAUAUUUGAGGAUGCAUACCUUGCAACGUGUAGCAACAUCCUGAGAUGCAAGCAUAGCAGCAUAGGGUGAAGACUCAUCACGAUCAGCCUUGACCUUCAUUCCACCUGGAUGGUUUAGAGGAAUAACAGUGCAUAUUAAGUACCAUCACUAACAGUGUGAAUGCAAGUAAUGGCAUAGGAAAAGAUGCAUACCAGUGAUCCGCACCAGGGUUUCCCUCCCAGACAAGUCAGUCACAUGCUGCAUAAUGAGAUUAGAGUCAAUACACAUGAGACAACAGUGUUGAAUGCAUAGGUGCUGAGAAGAAAAUACUUACGAUGAAAGUGUCAUUGAAGGAUGCAAAGAUGUGAGCAACGCCAAAGACAUGCUCUCCCUCACGGACAGCCGGUCCAAGGGUGACAUUCUCCUCCUUGGGCUCCCUGGUCUUCCUCUUCGACGACUGCAACAACAAACCACAAUUUACAUUAGACAACCCACUCGGCUAACAUGAAAGGCAGCAUUUACAGAACAUUUCUGGUUUCGUGCAGCACAGUCAGCCUAAGUUGAUACAAAAAUACCAUAUGUAGCUUUAGGAGGAAUAAAUUAUGUGUGGGUGUGGCUGAUGGCCAUGGGUUUCAGUAAAUUCUAGUAGAAGCUGACCAACUGGCAGCAGAUUUACUGAGUUAGAGCAUAUUGUGCAAACCAACUGUUUGGAGAUGAUCCGACACUAACAGCAUAACUAGAAAUACAGGUAGCAACCAUGAAAACUCGACAAAAAAGGAUGGAGAUUAAUUCAGUUAUCUAAAACCGCCCAACCCCUUCUUCAUUCAAGCAGGUCAACUCUAUUCAUCCACGCUACCCCAUUCCACCAAGUGAUGCCGAAUGCAAUUUCCUCCUUCAUGGCAUACUCGACAUUUACUACCAUCCACACGGUACAACCGAAGAGAAAUACAUAAUCCUGUCGCAGCUUCAUCCAAUCAACCCUGUCCUAGCAUACCACCCUACCUAGAAUCAAGCAAUCGAGCGCCGCAGCUGUUGCGAAUCUACCGAAUCUGCGCGCUUUCGGAAGCGAGGAGAAAUUGCGACGGCCAAUCGCAGCAACAACCGAAUCAGGGGAGAGGAAACGCACCAUGGUCGCGUGGAGCGGCGGUGGACCGGAGACGACGACGGCGAGGAGGAGGAGUGCGCGCCUGGUUGAGAUCACGAUGAGUGCGCCGCCGCCGCCGAAAGCUCAGAGGGUCGGAGGGCGAAGGGGUGCCCGCUUAUAUAUGGGGGUGCCGCCAGCUAGGGUUUAACCCCCCGCCUCCGAUCGGCUCAAAUGCCGAUUUUGCCCUCACGCAUGUGUCACUGCAAGUGGGUCCAACGGAUUAUUGGCGACCCGGGCCGUUAGUUGGGCCGAAUGAAAUGGUUUCUUCGGGCCCAUGUGACACCAAGGUAUGAAUGGGCUGGAUGCUGGGCAUUUUCGUCCCUGGGUCGCCCGAUAGAGAGGAGCGGAGAAGGAGGGGUGCUGCGUUCGGCAAGGAUGAAUCGCUCCCGAGUGUAUUGAUUCUCUGGUUGCUCUGAUUUCUUUCGAGGACUCAUUGACAAACCAUUUUGAGAAACAAAGAUUUAUAGAAACCACCCUUUAAAUCAUCCCAAUGGAACCAUAUCCUUGUCAGUUUUGGUAUAAUUUUUACCCUCAAAACUAUGAAACCGUAUAAAUCAACCCUUCUGUGGUUUUAAAGCCACCAUGUCCAAUUAUGGGCAGUAUUGGCCAGUGUUGAGAGCGUUGACUCCCUUUUUCUUUUCCCUAUGUGUAUUUAAAAAAAUUAUCACCUACUAAAAAUGUUUAUUGUGUGUAUCUAAAAAAUAUUCACCGGGCAUUUUUUUAAGAAAAAACAUUCAAGUANNNNNNNNNNNNNNNNNNNNNNNNNNNNNNNNNNNNNNNNNNNNNNNNNNNNNNNNNNNNNNNNNNNNNNNNNNNNNNNNNNNNNNNNNNNNNNNNNNNNNNNNNNNNNNNNNNNNNNNNNNNNNNNNNNNNNNNNNNNNNNNNNNNNNNNNNNNNNNNNNNNNNNNNNNNNNNNNNNNNNNNNNNNNNNNNNNNNNNNNNNNNNNNNNNNNNNNNNNNNNNNNNNNNNNNNNNNNNNNNNNNNNNNNNNNNNNNNNNNNNNNNNNNNNNNNNNNNNNNNNNNNNNNNNNNNNNNNNNNNNNNNNNNNNNNNNNNNNNNNNNNNNNNNNNGCACAAAACGAACACCUAAAUUGGGCCGGCCCACGUGUUUGCCACCAAUUUGACGCAAUAGGCAGGCUGUAAAAUUAGGUUAGUGUGAGGUCUGCGAUUCAAGUAGAUUGAUACUACAUCUUGAUUUGCUCUGCUCUUUUUGUCAUGCUUAGAAAAAUCCACUUGAAUUAUAUAUCGCAAAAUUAUGGACAUUGUGCUUUCUCGGAGUGCCAAUUUUUUUUUCUCAAUUUAAGUGAAAGAAACUUUAUUAUACGGAAUUUUACCAUUGUGUGGUGUUAUCUUUUUGAAGUAUUUGAACCUUUUUUAUGGAUCUACUAUUCAUGCUUGUAAUAGGUGUCUCUAUGCAUAUCAAAGUACAUAAUUUCUUGAAUAAGACACAUACUGUCAAUCCCCAAUAGAUCAUGUUGUUAAGAUUAGUUCCUCAAUUGGCAUAUAGGUUAUUCUGAAUCUUAGGAGUUGUUUGGAUAUCACCAGCACCAGCCCCACCAGAACAGGGCAUGCCAAAUUAUUCGUAGAUCAAUAUUAUCGAUGUUAUACAAUUUUUACCAGAUUUUAAGAAGAGGAUGUCAAUUGGAAGCAGGUGCACCAUAAGCUUAAGCUCUACUAGAGGCUGGUGCUCUAACCUCUGAGUCGAUUUCUUAUGUACUCUUUAUUGUUUUCGUUGUUUCCAUUGCCCCUAUAAGAUUUAUGAGCUUCUAUUCACCAUGAGUCCUAACUAGUGACAGAAGAUUCACAAGACUUGUACUAAAUUUUCCUAAAGAAUUGAAUCAAAACACUCACUUAAUGCACCAAAAAUUCCUAAUAGCAACCAAAGAAUACUUAAAUUAACUCGGGCUAACAUUAAGUGGCCAGGAACAUUUGUAAAGACCAUGGAACCUCAUCAAUAGUAACAGGAACCGAGGAUAUACACAACAACUAGGACAAAUCUUUCUUGGUACCACCGUCUGCACUUUAUCUCCGAUUCUUGGUAUGUCAUGCAAUAUUGCCUAGCCCAAUGAGAAGAGUCCACAAAAUCACGGUAGCAUCUCCAAACCCGUUCAUGAUUGCAUAUUAUGCUAUUUUUGCAUAUGCACACAUAUCCAGCAUUUUCAAAUCCCUGGUACCUCCCAAACCUAUAACAAACUCAAAUAAAUCCUACUAUUUUGGACAUGAUAGACAAAGCUGAGCUACUCAGUCAGGGAGGGAUCUCUGUCUAUGACAUGCACUCUAGUAGUCCAAGUUUUUUAUGUCUUUUAUAGCCGGAGAUUUCUAUGCAGAUGAGUAGUUCUUUCAUUUAUUUCUGCCAUUACUCCUGCAACUCAUAUAUUGUCCAUUACAUGCUCGCUGACUUGAUUUAAUAGGUACACACGAUGAAUCUGUCACAUCCAUAUCCAUAUGAUCCAUCAUGUCUUUAUUGAUCCAUGUCUAUGCAGUUUUGUAGGAUACGAGCCAAUGAGUGAAGAAUUAGCAAGUGUGUUGCUGAGAUACAUGUUCAAUGUGGUGCUAAGCAUUAUACACAUCGGUGAUGAAAUAUUUGUUGGUGUAUCGGCUCCAUAUAAAACAAUAUGGUAGCGGACGUGCAAGCUUUGCCCAAGAAAAUGGGCAUACUGUGAAACAACCUACCAAAAUAUUUUAUUAAAAUAACACAUCUUAGCAAAAAAACACAUGAAAGCUAAGAAAUUAUUACCCAACUUCAAGCAACUACAAAGGGUAUUUCUCCAGCAAAAAAACUAUGAAGGGUAUUUCACGCAUCAUUGUAGAGAUUGCGCAACAACAGUCCUAACUAAACCAAGAGCCAAAAUUGUCAAACUGAAUUCAUAAAGAACAUUUUACUUGUCUCUCAGAUCUGAAGACAGUUAUUGUCGGAGGCCGAAGGGGUGCCCGGUUAUAUACGAGGGUGCCGCCAACUAGGGUUUAACCCCCUGCCUCCGCUCAGCUUGAAUACCAAUUUGACCCUCAUGGAUGUGUCACUGUAGGUGGGUCCUGAUUUUUAUUGGCGAUACAUGGUAAUAGUUGGGCUGGGUGAAAUGGGUUUCGUCAGGACCAUGUGACACCACAAGGUUUGAAUGGGCUUGACAUUUUCAUCUCAAGGUCACCUCUUGCUUGGUGGACUGCGGUUAGUGAGCCGACCUCCUCGGAUCUCAUUGUCAAUGUCCUGAGGGAUUCACCGUAAGCUCCGCUACAUGAGAUAUUCUGCCUUGUAAGCUCUACUAUAGGUUCAUGCUCUAACCUCUGAUUUCUUACAUACUAUUUAUUGUAUUAGUUGUUUCUAUAGCCCUAAAGAGAUUUCUGAACCUCCAUUCACCGUGACCCCAGACUCUCGACAAAAAGAUUCACAAGAGUCAAUGUACUAUUGUCCUAAAGGAUUAAAUCAAAACACUUGCAUGAUGCACCAAGAAGUCUUAACAGCAAUCAAAGAAUAAUUAAUUAACUCGAGUUAAAUUUAAGUGGUCGAGAAUAUUUUUAGAGACAGCGGAAAUUCUUUGCACUAAUUAAGAUAGUACUCCCAUUGUCAUGGACCUCGGACACAACGACUGAGGGAGUCCUGGAUUAGGGGGUGUCCGGAUGGCCGGACUAUACCUUCAGCCAGACUCCUGGGCAAUGAAGAUACAAGAUUGAAGACUUCGUCCCGUGUCCGGAAGGGACUUUCCUUGGCGUGGAAGGCAAGCUUGGCGAUACGGAUAUGUAGAUCUCCUACCAUUGUAACCGACUUUGUGUAACCCUAACCCUCUCCGGUGUCUAUAUAAACCGGAGGGUUUUAGUCCGUAGGACAACAUAUAGAACAAUAAUCAUACCAUAGGCUAGCUUCUAGGGUUUAGCCUCUCCGAUCUCGUGGUAGAUCUACUCUUGUACUGCCCAUAUCAUCAAUAUUAAUCAAGCAGGACGUAGGGUUUUACCUCCAUCAAGAGGGCCCGAACCUGGGUAAAACUUCGUGUCCCUUGCCUCCUGUUACCAUCCGGCCUAGACGCACAGUUCUGGACCCCCUACCCGAGAUCCGCCGGUUUUGACACCGACAUUGGUGCUUUCAUUGAGAGUUCAUCUGUGUCGUCUGAAAGUGCGUUAUAUCGACUAGAGGGGGGUGAAUAGGCGGUUUUUAUGAAAGUCUUCAAAACAUGGAAGUUAUGAAGACAAACGAUAGAAAUAAACCUAUUACCCUGCAGCGGAAGGUAGACUACACUAGGCAAGCCAUAGUCAAGUAUUCAAUAGAGUGAAAGCAUAAUGACUAAUAGCAGCAAUGUAGUAAGGAUCAGGUAGGAAGAUAUUGUGAAGCCACACAGAACACGCAGUCACUCAGUGAAGACAAAAGAUAGUGCGAACAUACAAUGACUUCACAAGGAGUAAUAGUAAGUAAAGGGAAGGGAAGAUGAAACCAGUGACUCGCUGAAGACAAUGAUUUGUUGGACCAGUUCCAGUUGCUGUGACAACUAUAUGUCUGGUUAGGGCGGCUAGGUAUUUAAACCUUAGGACACACAGUCCCGGACACCCAGUCCUGAACACGCAGCUCAGGACACCCAGUCCUCACCGUAUUCCCCUUGAGCUAAGGUCACACAGACCUCACCCAAUCACUCUGGUAAGUCUUCAAGGUAGACUCCCAAACCUUCACAGACUUCGUUCACUGGCAAUCCACAAUGUCUCUUGGAUGCUCAGAACGCGACGCCUAACCGGCUGGAGGAUGCACAGUCCUCAAGUGUAAUAAGUCUUCAGAUCACACAGACAAGAAGACUUAAGUGAUGCCUAAUUCUCUUUGGCUCUGGGUGGUUAGGGCUUUAUCCUCGCAAGGAAUUCUCUCUCAAAAGCUUCAAGGUGGGUUGCUCUCAAACGACAAAAGCCGUACUCUGAAUCUGAGCAGCCAACCAUUUAUGGUUGUAGGGGGUGGGCUAUUUAUAGCCACUUGGCAACCCGACCUGAUUUGUCCGAAAUGACCCUGGGUCACUAAGGAAGUGACACGUGUUCCAACGGUCAGAUUUCAAACUCACACGACAACUUUACUUGGGCUUCAAGCAAAGCUGACUUGCCCGACUCUGGACAAGAUUCGCUCUCAAAGUCUUCACUCUUAGACAUAGGUUUUGUUUAAGCAUCACUUCAGUCAUUCUGACUGGUUCUCUUGGACCCCACUUAACAGUAUGGUGGUUCCUAUGACUCAACACAGAAGAAAGAGAACUACGAAAGAUCUAAGUCUUCGAGCUCCAUAGGCUUCAUGUGGUGUCUUCUCUUGUCAUAGUCUUCAAUGUGAAUAUCUUCAUAUACCACAUUUGACUUUAAUGUCUUCAUACAUUUUUAGGCGUCAUCUCUGGUAGGAAAACCGAAUCAAUGAGGGACUUCUACCUGUGUUAUCCUGCAAUUCUCACAAACACAUUAGUCCCUCAACUAGGUUUGUCGUCAAUACUUCAAAACCAACUAGGGGUGGCACUAGAUGCACUUACAAUCUCCCCCUUUUUGGUGAUUGAUGACAAACUAGUUGAAGUUUUCAACGGGGAAUAUAAUCUGUGAAAUUGUAAAGGAUAAGGAAUUGUCUUCAUAAGUUGCAAGGGCUCCCCCUGAAGAUGUGCAUAUAAGUAAUUUUCUUUUGGGAUGCAAAUGCACAUGGCAGGUUGUACUUGUGGAGAUCCACUUCAACUUAUGACGACAAUCCACUAUGCAUGUGAAAGUAUAUGAAGAUAAUGACAUGCAUAAUGGAAAAUGGACGUCUGCAGAAUGAUCUAAGUGCGGAAUUUAUCAUCACAACACAAGGUGGCAGAUAAGUAGCAGACGACCAUCGAGUUUAAGUGUUACAAUUCAAAGAACCAAAUGUAGCAAAACGAGAGUUGUAAGCACAAAGCAAAAUAUAAAGCACCCGCCCAUAUGGACCCGCUUGAAGACUAUCAACCUCAUAUGCUUCUCCCUCUUUUGUCAGUAAGGACCAAAAAGGUUUGAAGACAUAGAGCAUCUACUCGUUCCCAUGAGGAGGAGGUGAAGCUGCAGGGUCGUUAGUGGUAUUUGGCGGUGCUGAAGAGCUUAGAGCAGAGUCGAAGCGUGCUGAAGGAGGUGGCGGUGAAGUAGCAUCGUCUUCAUCCUCGAUCACUCUGGCAUUCACAGUUGCAGCAGAGGAAGAGAACUCAGAGUCUUCAAGGGAUGGAGUUCUUUGCAGCACUGCCCUUCGAGGAGGUGUGGAGUCAAACUUGAAUCACUCAGUGAAGCCAUCCUUUUGAAGAUCAUAUUCAGAACACAUCAGCGUUAGCCCUUUCCAUGUGCGGUGAGAGGUUUCAUGGGUAACAAAAGCAUUCAUGGUGGCAAGAUUGCGAAUGCGAUUAACAUCCACCAAGAGGCUUUGCAUUUGACGCUUCAGCCAGUCAUGAUGCCUACCCUGUUUCUGAUGAAGAGCCACAAGAAGCUCUCGGUCAUUGAGAACACGAGUGCGCUUCUUGGGUCGUGGAGCAGUUGUAUUGUCAGUGGCUUUAGUGAGAGCAGGAUGCAGUGCACGUGUAGUGCCAGCCAAAGGAUACACACGAGCGACUGCUUCAACUCCUUCAAUGUUCUGAGAGAAACUCUGAUGCUCUCCAUUCUGAAGACUUAGGGGUUCCUUGGCAGGCUCAGGAUAGAUGGCUUCAAUAGACAUAUCCACAUCAGGCAGAAAAAUCCGAUGAUUGCGAGCAGAUGGCUGAUAUGAGACAGUGGAGUGAAGUUUGAUCAGCCGCAUGACCCAUGGGGCGUAGAACUUCAAGCCAAACAGAUCAGAGCCUGAUGCAGCCAGUUGGCGAAUGAAGAAGUCCUGUGCAUUGAAGCAUUUUCCAUGAAGAAUAUAGAAGACCAAAGUCUUCAUUGCACCUUCAAGCUUGGCAUGUGGAGAGUGCCCUUUGAUGGGCCAGAGAGUUCGCCUUAUGAUGUGAUAAAUAGUCCUUGGCAGAUACUCUAGGUCUUUAACAAAGAACUCUUUGGAAUAUGCAGCAUCUUGGGGUAAUGGCUUCAUCAUAAUGAGCAUCUGACUCGUGUUAGGUUCAGACUUCUGAAAGAUGCUCUCAAUAGCUUCACUAUGAAGCUGACAGCCAUGCUCAUAGAGAUCGCCAGGAGUGGGCAAACCAGUGAGCUCAAUGAUGUCAAAGGCUUUGGUUUCGUCAUGAACGUUUCCUGUCAUCCACUCCAGGACCCAAGUCUUCGGAUCACUGCUAUACCCGCGGAUGUGGAGUGUGGCAUAGAAUUGGAGCAGCAACUCUUCAUUCCAAUGCUCUUGGUCAGUGACGAACGGCAGCAGUCCAACCUCUUUGAAGCAAUUCAGAGCUUCUUCCAGACAGGGCAGACCAGCUAUUGCUUCAAUGUCAAGGCGCUUGUGUGGGAAGAUGCGACCUUGGUUGUAAAGAACACAUGAGUAAUAGCUUCGCUGCGGAUAACUCCAGAACCGAUCAGAUGAUAUUCUUUCCCUGGAGUAGGGGUUCCUGGAGCUGUUGAAGAAUGUGUUGUUUGCUCUGAAGCCAUUGAUAUUGAAGGAGCCAGGUGCUGAUGCAGGACCUGGGAACCUUGGCAAUCUUGGGAUUGACUUCUGUACCUGAGGCCUGUGCUCAACAUGAUAGUAGAACUGGGGACCGGCAGCAGACUCAGGAACAGAAGUGGCGGGAUCAGUGGCUUCGCUGACUUCUGGUGCUUUUGUUGGUGAGGGCUCCACAUUAGCUUCAGCCAUGACAUCGUCAGUGGCUUCAGUGGUGUUGGUGGUGGCAGCCUCAAGAUGUUCAACCUCCACUUGAUGAGCAGGAGGGUCGGUCACGAUCACGUUCUCCUCAAGAACUGCUUCUUGGUGGGACAGGGGAGUGGCAACUUGUGGGUCUUCUUCUUCAUCGGCUGAUGCAGCCGGAAUUUCUUCACAGAUUCAGCUUCAGACGCAGAGACUGGAGGCCUUGGUCCUUUGCGAAGCCUACGCAACGCAGGCGACGCCUGUGUAGUUGGAGUUGGCUGGGCCUCAAAGUCUUCUUCCUCUUGUGGGCAAUCAGCCCAUUAAGCAUCCUGAGCGAUUGGCGUCUGUAAGUGCAUCUAGUGCCACCCCUAGUUGGUUUUGGAGUAUUGACGACAAACCUAGUUGAGGGACUAAUGUGUUUGUGAGAAUUGCAGGAUAACACAGGUAGAAGUCCUUCAUCGAUUCGGUUUUCCUACCAGAGAUGACCCCUAAAAAUGUAUGAAGACAUUGAAGUCAAAGGUGGUAUAUGAAGAUAUUCACAUUGAAGACUAUGACAAGAGAAGACACCACAUGAAGCCUAUGGAGCUCGAAGACUUAGAUCUUUCGUAUUUCUCUUUCUUCUGUGUUGAGUCAUAGGAACCACCGUACUGUUAAGUGGGGUCCAAGAGAACCAGUCAGAAUGACUGAAGUGAUGCUUAAACAAAACCUAUGUCUUCGAGUGAAGACUUUGAGAGCGAAUCUUGUCCAGAGUCGGGCAAGUCAGCUUUGCUUGAAGCCCAAGUAAAGUUGCCGUGUGAGUUUGAAAUCUGACCGUUGGAACACGUGUCAGUUCCUUAGUGACCCAGGGUCAUUUCGGACAAAUCAGGUCGGGUUGCCAAGUGGCUAUAAAUAGCCCACCCCCUACAACCAUAAACGGUUGGCUGCUCAGAUUCAGAGUACGGCUUUUGUCGUUUGAGAGCAACCCACCUCGAAGCCUUUGAGAGAGAAUUCCUUGCGAGGAUAAAGCCCUAACCACCCAGAGCCAAAGAGAAUUAGGCAUCACUUAAGUCUUCUUGUCUAUGUGAUCUGAAGACUUAUUACACUUGAGGACUGUGCAUCCUCCAGCCGGUUAGGCGUCGCGUUCUGAGCAUCCAAGAGACAUUGUGGAUUGCCGGUGAACGAAGUCUGUGAAGGUUUGGGAGUCUACCUUGAAGACUUACUAGAGUGAUUGGGCGAGGUCUGUGUGACCUUAGCUCAAGGGGAAUACGGUGAGGACUGGGUGUCCUGAGCUGCGUGUUCAGGACUGGGUGUCCGGGACUGUGUGUCCUAGGGUUUAAAUACCUAGCCGCCCUAACCAAACGUACAAUUGUCACAGCAACUGGAACUGGUCCAACAAAUCAUUGUCUUCAGCGAGUCACUGGUUUCAUCUUCCCUUCCCUUUACUUACUGUUACUCCUUGUGAAGUCAUUGUAUGUUCACACUAUCUUUUGUCUUCACUAAGUGACUGCGUGUUCUGUGUGGCUUCACAAUAUCUUCCUACCCGAUCCUUACUACAUUGCUGCUAUUAGUCAUUGUGCUUUCACUCUAUUGAAUACUUGACUAUGGCUUGCCUAGUGUAGUCUACCUUCCGCUGCAGGGUAAUAGGUUUAUUUCUAUCGUUUGUCUUCAUAACUUCCACGUUUUGAAGACUUUCAUAAAAAUCGCCUAUUCACCCCCCUCUAGUCGAUAUAACGCACUUUCAAUUGGUAUCAGAGCAAGGUGCUCCCUUGUUCUGUGUGAUUCGGUUUAACCACCUGGAGUUUUAGCUAUGUCGACUGCAGGGAUAAUUAAAGUCUUCGCUGCGUGUCCCGUCUUCGAUGGAACUGAAUAUCCCUACUGGAAGAACAAGAUGCGCAUGCAUCUUGAAGCCAUUGACGUUGACCUAUGGUAUGUCAUCAAGAACGGCAUUCCCAAGGCUGGAGAAGGUGUCACUUCUGCUGAUGUCAAGAAGUUCGUUCAACUGGACUCUACUGCCAAGAAUAUCAUCUGUGGUCAUCUGACCAAAGGACAGUAUGGCCGUGUGAGUGCUUUGGAAACAUCUAAGCUGGUAUGAGACUGGCUCUCCAAGGUCAAUGAAGGCGUCUCAACCCAGAGAGAUCAGAGAAUCAGUGUCCUUUGCAACCUCUUCAACCGCUUCAAGCGAAAUGACAAUGAGAAUGUCCAGCUCACAUUUGACCGACUCACUGACAUCACAAAUGAGCUUCAAGCCCUCGGCGCUACUGAGAUCACCAAACAUGAAGUCGUGAAGACACUACUGAGAUCACUUGGUAGUUCGUUUGACACCCUAGCCCUAAUGAUUCAAGAACGUCCUGAUUUCAAGACACUCGAUCCGUCUGACAUACUUGAGAGGCUCAAUACACAUGAGUUUCAGCUUUCUGAGAAAAGAGAUAUCUACGGUCCAAACUAUGGGCGAACUCGUGCCUUGAAGGCAAAAACUGUCUCCUCAUCUGAAGAAGAAUCUGACAGCAGUUCGGAUGAUCCUGAAGACAUUGGAAGGCAACUUGCUAUGCUUGUGAAGAAGUUCCAAAAAUUCACCAAGAAGAAAGGUUUCAGAAAGUCUUCCCGAUCAAGCUCAAGGAAUGAUGAAGUUUCUGCUCACGACUACAAGAAGAAAGCAUGUCACAAGUGCAAGAAACCUGGCCACUUCAUCUCUGAGUGUCCACAGUGGGACAAUGAGAACAAAAAGAAGAAGAAGAGCAAGGAAUAUGACUCUGACGACAAGAAGAAGAAGAAAUACUCAAAGUCUUCUUCCAAGUCUUCCUCAAAGUCUUCAUCACACAAGAAGAGCUCAUCUGGCAAGGCACGUGCGUUUGUUGGCAAGGAAAUGGAUUCAGAGGAGCAGUCCGCUUCUGAGGAGGCGGAGGUGGAGUCUGAGGAGGAGUCCGAUUCAGGCGUCGCAAGUCUGGCUACAACAUACGUUGCCAAGUCCAUCUUCAAUACUGAAGACAAUGACUUCAUCACCGACACCAAUGCAAAUGACAAGGACUACUCCGCUUCUACCUACUGCUUCAUGGCACGCGGUGCCAAGGUAAACACACGCACUACUCACUAUCAAACAUCUAGUGACGAUGACUCUGAUUGUGGAUCAAAACCCAGCUACAAAACACUUGCUAAAAUUGCAACUGAACAACAAAAAGCUAUGGAACAUAUUCAAAAACUGUUAGACAGAAGCGAUGAUCUGUUAGGUGCUGAAAUGACUCGAUCUGAAUCCUUAAUUGAAGACAUAAAAAAUCUUCACGUUAAGUAUGAGGAACUUGAAAGUCGUCAUGAAACUCUCUCAACAAUUCAUGAAAAGCUUUCCUGUGAUUAUCUUCAAAGGAAGCAAGAUCUUAAGAAAUUGAGAGCGGCUCAUGAAGAUCUUCAAAAGGAAAACGAGUCACUUCGCGCCAAAUAGAUCAGUUCCGCUCAGGAAGGAUUUGAACCACCAUGUCUUAAAUGCAUUGAGCAUGAUAAUGCUACUUCUGUUGCUGAAUGUUCUACUGCUACUACUGUUGCAAUAUCUUCAACUGUUGAUGUGGUAACUAACCCCUCUGCUGAGGAUACCACUGCUAUUGCUGAUGAGAAUGCUAGGUUGAAGACAUUGCUUGAAACAGGGAUGUACAAAAGUCUUAAAGGGCAUCAGACACUAUGUGAUGUCCUCAAAAAGCAGAUUCUGAACCGAAACCCGAGGAAAGAGGGUGUUGGGUUCGUAAGGAAAAUGAAUGCUGAUGGCUCUUACUGGAAACCUGAGCAGUCCCCCAAAACCACGUGGGUUGCUGCAAAGGAACCUUCAGCAGAUCCAUCCAAUCUAUCUGGCUUCACUUGUGCUAACCCCAUUAUCAUUGAUGAAUCCCUUGAUGCAAACUAUAAACUAUUUAAGAAUCAGAAUGGUGAAGUGUUUGCCAGGUACAUUGGUACUAACUACAGGAAUGGACCGCCUAUGAAGAAGAUCUGGGUUCCGAAAAGGUGUCUAGAGAAUCUUCCUGUGAAUGUCAUCAUGACACCUCACGUGAAGAAGACAAACCUCAGACCAAAGGCUUCAUACGGUCCAAAGGCUUCAUACAGACAGAGGACUCACCUGAGUCGCACUAACGCAAAUAUUUUGCAGGGAAACCAUACUCAGGCAUAUGAAUAUGAGAGCGGUUCAUCAAACCGCCAUGUUCAUAAGACCAAGAACUAUUCUCCUUAUUCUUAUGAGUACUAUUGUCCGCCUGCAAGACUGUUUGCUAGGGCUCCAAAGCCAAAGUUCUAAGAUGCUGCACUUUGAAUUAUUGCUUCUAAGCCACCCUUGAAGAUGUGGGUGGCUAAGAAAGCUUAACUCUCUUUUGCAAGGAAAGGUCUCCGGCAGAAAACCAAAAUCGUCUGACACUAUUGCUGGGGACCUUAAACAUCUUGUAGGGCACAAGAUCAAAUGCCCGAAUGGUCUUACUAUGUACUUCGUUCCUGAAUCACUUGCUACUCUCCCUAUUAGUCCUAAUCUGGAUCUAAGCUUUCAUAACCCACUGGUUCGUCAAAUGUUUUUGCUUCACAAUGCUCUUCGUGAAGCCUAUCCCCCUAACUGCACUGUAGGGUACGACACCAGCGUCUUCAGAAUGGAUUAUUGAUAGUGGGUGUACAAAUCACAUGACUGGCAAAAGAAGCCUUCUUAUGGGCUCAACCUUACGUCCAUCCGACAAGAGCCACAUCACAUUUGCUGACACUGGUAAGAGUAAGGUAUUGGGUCUAGGUAGAGUUGCAAUCUCAAGGGAUCAACACAUGGAUAAAGUCAUGCUUGUUGAAUCCCUUGGCUUCAACUUCAUGUCUGUCUCAAUGCUUUGCGAUUUAAACAUGAUCGUAAUAUUUGGAAAAUAUCGUUGCCUUGUUCUAAUGGAAUCUGACAAGUCUCUAGUAUUUGAAGGGUAUCGAAAAGAUGAUUUGUACGUGGUAGAUUUCUCAGCAGGACCAUAGCUUGCCGUAUGUCUUCUAGCAAAAGUUUUAGAAUGCUGGCUCUGGCAUCGGAGGCUUGGGCAUGCUGGCAUGAGGAACCUCCACACCCUGGCAAAGAAGAAGCAUGUCAUAGGCAUCGAGGGCAUCAAGUUCAAGAAAGAUCACUUAUGCGGUGCCUAUGAGGCAGGAAAGAUGACGAGGGCCAAACAUCCAUCGAAGACAAUCAUGACCACUACUCGACCCUUCGAACUGCUUCACAUGGAUCUUUUCGGUCCCACUCAUUACUCAACUCUUACUACUGCUGCUUGUCUGUAUGGCUUUGUCAUUGUUGAUGAUUAUUAUAGAUAUACUUGGGUGCACAUAAUCCUUUACAAGACUGAAGUGCAGCAUGUCUUCAGACGCUUCGCCAAUCGAGCAAUGAACAACUAUGGCGCCAAGAUAAAGCAUAUCAGAAGUGACAAUGGCACUGAAUUCAAGAACACUGGCCUUGAUACAUAUCUUGACACCUUCGGCAUCACACAUGAAUUCUCAGCCCCGUACACGCCACAGCAGAAUGGGGUCGUCGAACGCAAGAACAGAACACUCAUUGAGAUGGCCAGAACGAUGCUAGAUGAAUACAAGACUCCAAGAAAAUUCUGGCCUGAAGCCAUUGAUACUGCAUGCCAUACAAUCAAUCGUGUUUAUCUUCACAAGCUUCUGAACAAGACAUCUUAUGAGCUCCUUACUGGCAAGAAGCCAAAUGUCAGUUACUUCAGAGUAUUUGGCGCCAGGUGCUGGAUCAAGGACCCACAUCACACCUCAAAGUUUGCACCAAAAGCACAUGAGGGUUUUAUGCUUGGAUAUGGAAAGGAUUCGCACUCCUACAGAGUCUUCAAUCUCUUUCAUUACAAAGUGGUUGAAACAGUGGAUGUGCGGUUCGAUGAGACCAACAGUUCACAAAGAGAGCAACUGCCAAAUGUGCUAGAUGAAGUUCCAUCCAGUGAAUCAAUCAAGCUAAUGGGAACUGGAGAAAUUAUACCUUCUGAAGCUCAUCCUGAAGAAGAACUUAUCAUCUCAGCACCUGAUCAACAUGAAGACAAUGCUCAGCCUGAAGACAUUCCUUCUAACAACGACAAUGAUCAGCAAGAGCAAAAUCUUCGCCCUGUACAUCCUCGCGUUGCCAAUGAAGUGCAGAUUGAAAGAAUAAUUGAUAGCAUCAAUGCACCCGGUCCACUCACUCGUUCAAGGGCAACUCAGCUAGCAAAUUUUUGUGGGCACUUUGCAUUCGUCUCAAUAACAGAACCCAAGAAAGUUGAAGAAGCCUUCAUGGAACCUGAAUGGAUUCAAGCUAUGCAAGACGAGCUUCAACAGUUUGAACUGAAUAAUGUACGGGAACUGGUCAAGCGUCCCGAUCCUCGGAAGCACAACAUAAUAGGCACCAAAUGGAUAUACUGCAACAAGCAAGAUGAGCAUGGUCAAGUUGUCAGAAACAAAGCUCGUCUCGUUGCUCAAGGAUAUACUCAAGUGGAAGGCAUUGACUUCGAUGAAACAUUUGCUCCUGUGGCUAGACUUGAAGCCAUACACAUACUGCUGGCCUAUGCAAAUCAUCACAACAUACUUCUUUAUCAAAUGGAUGUGAAGAGCGCCUUCCUCAAUGGCAAGAUUGAAGAAGAAGUGUAUGUUGCACAACCUCCUGGCUUUGAAGAUCCAAAACAUCCUAACAUGGUAUACAAGCUCAACAAGGCACUGUAUGGCCUCAAACAAGCCCCUCGGGCCUGGUAUGACACACUCAAAUACUUCCUGAAGAGCAAAGGCUUCAUACCUGGUUCUCUCGACCCCACUCUCUUCAUGAAGACAUAUGAUGGUGAACUGUUUGUGUGCCAAAUAUAUGUGGAUGACAUUAUCUUCGGCUGCACCAAUCAGAAGUACAGUGAAGAGUUUGGAUAUAUGAUGCAAGAGCAAUAUCAAAUGUCUAUGAUGGGAGAGCUGAAGUUCUUUCUCGGUCUUCAAAUAAGACAGCAACGCAACGACAUCUUCAUAUCUCAAGAGAAGUAUCUCAAAGAUUGCCUAAAGAAGUUCGGUAUGCAAGACUGCAAAGGCUUCACGGCGCCAAUGCCAGCCAAGCAUCAUCUGGGUCCUGACGACAAUGGUAAAGAGUUCGAUCAAAAGGUAUACCGCUCCAUGAUUGGUUCUUUACUUUAUCUAUGUGCAUCUAGGCCAGAUAUUAUGCUUAGUGUUUGCAUGUGUGCUCUAUUUCAAGCGGCACCAAAGGAGUCGCAUCACUUAGCUGUGAAGCGAAUUCUUCGAUAUUUGGCUCACACCCCAACUCUAGGAUUAUGGUAUCCCAAGGGCUCAGAGUUUGAUCUGAUUGGAUUCUCGGAUGCUGAUUAUGCUGGUGACAAAGUUGAUCACAAGUCUACAUCAGGCACAUGUCACUUUCUAGGACGAUCACUUGUAUGUUGGUCUUCAAAGAAGCAGAACUGUGUAUCUCUCUCCACUGCUGAAUCUGAAUACAUUGCUGCUGGAUCUUGCUGCGCUCAGCUUCUGUGGAUGAAGCAAACGCUCAAAGACUAUGGCAUUCAUCUGAAGCAAGUGCCACUCUACUGCGACAACGAAAGCGCCAUCAAGAUUGCCAACAACCCAGUUCAGCACUCGAAGACAAAGCACAUUGAAAUUCGUCAUCACUUUCUCAGAGAUCAUGUUGUGAAGGAAGAUAUUGAUAUCAUACACGUCAACACUGAAGAGCAAUUGGCAGAUAUCUUCACCAAGCCCUUGGAUGAGAAGAGAUUUUGCAAGUUACGGUGUGAUCUAAAUAUCCUGGAAUCCUCAAAUGUCCUGUGAUCAGGCACACAUCCUAACCCUUAUGCAUAUUGAUGACUUAGAUGUGCAACACACGAAGUAAAGUAUAUCUUCAAUCAAUGAAGACAUAUAUUCUAAGCGUGAAUACAUUAAUGUGGAAUUUGAGUUCGGGGCGCCACGAUAAUUGUGCGCCGUGUCUGGGUCUAAUACUUCCUAUACGGUGGGUAACGCCACCACCAAAUGUUCUAUUUUGAAGUGUUUCACUCAUGGCGUUACCUUGCUAUGUCUUCACAUUUGGUUUGGCUUCAAUCUCAACAUGUCUUCAUGAUUAUCUUCACUAUGUUGAUUAUAUAUAUAUACUAGUGUUCUGUCCUCUACAGCAUUCACUUAUAGCUAUGUUUUCUUGUUGAAUCUUUUGAACUAAGUGAAUGUGAUCGGACCCUAACCUCUCUAUGCUAUCUAUCUCAAACUCUAUCUCUCCAAAUCAUAUGCAUUCUAUUGAAACUGUCGAAUGUCUUCUCUGUGUCCUUGUCAGCAGAAGAUACAAAGACAAACCUUAAGUCCACCUUCAAUGCUCAUUCCUCCACAUGAAACCCGGAGAAGUAGGAACGACCACCCGAGAAUCCAGGCGUGCGUGGGACGUGGAACAAACCCCAAAAUUCUGCAUAAUGGCCACAUGUUCCUCAGAUGCGAAUCGCCAGGGGCACCUGUGUAAUAAUGCAGUGCCGCCCUUGUACCUAUAAAUACACACUUCAUGACGGUCAUUAUCUCUUCUUCCACUCUCGCACGAACCCUAGCGCCACCGCUAGCCCUCGACGACGCCGGCGACGAAGUGCUUCGCUACCGCAACCUCUCCGAUGUUGUCUUCACGCCGACCGCGGACAUCGUCCUCUCCGCCGUCGCCAUAGGUGUCCUCCGUCGCCAAGUUAGGGCACGGAAGAUCAAACUGCUCGGCCUCAUCUUCCAUCCAUCUAGCAGUUCUUAGUGUGGUAAAUAAAACUUCCAUUUUACGGCACCGUUGAUCCUAUGGCUUUGUCACUUUCUACCACAAGCAGUUUCUAUUCACACAAGUUAGAUCUCUCUCAUACUGCAUCUCAUAACAUGCCCAGUAUAUUCACUUGUACUUCACAAAGUAGUUAGAUUCCUCACUUGUACUGAUCUCUGGAUUCGUACAAAUCUGGAACCAACUCCUUAUCUAUGAGUGAAUGUCUUCGCACGAUGAGGUCAAUGUCUUCUAAACUGAUUUAUAUUCAAAAUCUUCUGAGAAUGCAUAUGACCUCUUCCCCUUCCCUCGCACCUUAAUGCUGUCACAGGUACAUGUCCGUGGAAGAAUCCCUUGGUUCUCAUAGUCUGCAUUCAUUUGCAGAAUUCUUACAACAUCAUAUAAAUUCUCCCGAAGCAAGUUCCUGUCUGUACAGCAAGCGAAAAUCUUUGAAGCCUUUGAACGUGUUGAAGCCUUUCAGUUUAAAGUUCAUGGCUUCAGAGAAAUCAGCAAGGAAGGGUGGCAGAAAGUGUCGUGGAGAAACAUCUAGAGAUCUGCCAGAUGACCUCUCAGAACUGUACAAGACAGAUCCUGAAGAGGAUUACAAUCAGCGCAAGACCUGAAUCCAAUGGAUUCGAAGAUAUUGGGUAGAACAAUGGUUCAAAUACCGAUUUGUAACCCAGGAAUAUGCUGAGAAAAAUGCCAUCAAGAGACCAUGGGGAGACAUCCUAUACAAGAAUCUUCAACCCAGGUCCAGAGAUGAAGCCAUUGAAUAAGGCUUCUAUCCCUGCAUGGUCCAUGGGCCACAGCCUGUUGAUGCACACCCAUCGUCACUACUAUGGUGUCGUGACGACAUUCUGUUCAAGCGCAACUUCCAGUUUGCCCAGAACUCAGCGAAGCAAAACAAGAAGACAUUGGGACUAGAUUUCAACCCUGGUCCCUCAGCUCCAAGGGCUGAUGGCACACGAGAUGCAGAACCCAAUGUCAUCGGUCCUUUCUACAACCUUGAAGGCCUCAUCACCCAUAUCUUGGUUCAAGGGACUGCAGUGAAUGAGCCUGCAGCUGACGCUGAAUCAGAUGAAGCGCCUGCAGCGCCGAAGCCAAAGAAGUUGAAGAAUCCUAAAGCUUCAAAGCCUGCCCCUUCACCAAAAAUCUCACGGGCGAAGCCACUGGCAACUGCACCUCCUGAAGACAGUGUGCAGUCCGAAGAUUUUUCACGCAUCUCCAAGUCCCAGAAGGUCAAGAUGCCUCUGCCACACACCGGCCAAGAGCUAACAGCUGCUGCCAUUCUGCGCAAUGAUGCCAUUGAUCUAUCAAGUGAUGAAGAUCUUGCAGAUGACGCUCUUGAGCAACUCAUCAAGAGAAAAGAAGAAGCAGAAAUCUUCAAUGAUCUGCCUCUCUUUGAUGUAACAAUCAUCCACAACUUCAUUGAUGAAUGGUUUGACACGCCAAACAUCAGCUUCGACGAUCUCCAACUACCCAUUGGCCUCAGUGUCGCCUUCCAUGGCGCCAUUGCUUCAGAGUUAGCUAUCGCCCAGAGCAUUGUUGAACUAAAGCAGAAGAUUGACUUUGAGAAAUCUCAGUUCAAGAAGCAUAUGGCCAAGCUCAGUAUGCAAGAGGUGAAGAACUUCAAGAUUAUGCUGCACGAGCUCAAGGAAGCCUUUCUCAAGAAACAUGCAGAAGCUCAAGGUUCUCCUGAGCGCAUGAAGGUUCUGGCUGAUAAAUGUGUGCAGGCCUACAAUGAGGCUGAGAAGCGCAAGGCCCUUGGGCGUCCUGGCAUCGACCCCAGGAUGGUAACAAAGAAGAUGAAGAAGCCCGCUACGGCUGAACCUGACGCACCAAGGCAGGAAGCAGAUCCCAUUGUCUUCCCAACUAGAAUGACUAGCUCGAAGCCAAAAAGCCGGUCAACCGCUUCAGAGCUCAAGAAGACGAGGACUGCUGAGGCUGAAGUCAGGAAGAGGAAACAUCCUGAAGCCUCUCCUAUUGCCCCCUCCAAGAAGAAGAGGAAGACCAAGAAAGAUCGGGCUGCUCCCACAGAGCCUUUGAUAGUUGAACCCAUUUUCAUGGUUCGUCCUGACGCUGAACGCCAACUGACAAUCCAUGAGCCUGCUUUCACAGAGGCUCAUGAAGCUGAAGACUUUCCAGCAGCUGAUCCCAUCGCUGCUGAAGACAUUGGUCAACAUGACCAUGUAGAAGAUGGUGCAGUCCUUCCUCAGCUCGAGAACAGCGAACUCAUCAGCAUUGGUCGUCCUCUGACGCCAAUCGCUCAGGAUACUUCAUGGGCUGAUCGCCCACAAGAGGAAGAAGACUUUGAGGCCCAGCCAACUCCAACUACACAGGCGUCGCCUGCGUUGCGCAGGCUUCACAAAGGACCUAGGCCUCCAGUCUCUGCGUCUAAAGCUGAAACUGCUAAAGACAUUCCGGCUGCAUCAGCCGAUGAAGAAGAAGUCCCACAAGCUGCUACUCCCCUGUCCCACAAAGAAGCGGUUCUCGAGGAGAACGUGAUUGUGACCGACCCUCCAGCUCGUCAAGUGGAGGUUGAAAAUCUUAAGGCUGCCACCACCACCACCAAUGAAGCCACUGCCACUGUCAUGGCUGAAGCUAAUGUGGAGCCCUCCCCAACGGAAGAAGAAGUCAGUGAAGCCACUGAUCCCGCCACUUCUAUUCCUGAGUCUGUUGUCGGUCGCCAGUUCGACUAUCAUGUUGUGCAUAGGCCUCAGGUACAGAAGCCAAUCCCAAGAUUGCCAAGGUUCCCAGGUCCUGCAUCAGCACCUGGCUCCUUCAAUAUCAAUGGCUUCAGAGCAGACAACAAAUUCUUCAACAACUCCAGGAACCCCUACUCCAGGGAAAGAAUAUCAUCUGAUCGGUUCUGGAGUUAUCCGCAGCGAAGCUAUUACUCAUGCGUUCUUUACAACCAAGGUCGCAUCUUCCCACACAAGCGCCUUGACAUUGAAGCAAUAGCUGGUAUGCCCUGUCUGGAAGAAGCUCUGGAUUGCUUCAAAGAAGUUGGAUUGCUGCCGUUCGUUACUGACCAAGAGCAUUGGAAUGAAGAGUUGCUGCUCCAAUUCUAUGCCACACUUCACAUCCGCGGGUAUAGCAGAGAUCGAAGACUUGGGUCCUGGAGUGGAUGACAGGAAACAUUCAUCACGAAGCCAAAGCCUUUGACAUCAUUGAGCUCACUGGUUUGCCCACUCCUGGCGAUCUCUACGAGCAUGGCUGUCAGCUUCAUAGUGAAGAUAUUGAGAGCAUCUUUCAGAAGACUGAACCUAAUAUGAGUCAGAUGCUCAGUAUGAUGAAGCCAUUGCCCCAAGAUGCUGCUUAUCCCAUGGAGUUCUUCGUUGAAGACCUUGAGUAUCUGCCAAGAACCAUUUAUCACAUCAUAAGGCGAACUCUCUGGCCAAUCAAAGGACAUUCUCACCAUGCCAAGCUGGAAGGUGCAAUGAAGACUUUGGUCUUCUACAUUCUUCAUGGAAAAUGCUUCAAUACACAGGAUUUCUUCAUUCGCCAACUUGCUGCAUCUGGCUCUGAUCUGUUUGGUUUGAAGUUCUAUGCCCCUUGGGUGAUGCGGCUGAUCAAAUUUCACUCUGCUAUCUCAUAUCAGCCCUUGGCCCGCAACCAUCGGAUCUUUUUGCCUGAUGUGGAUAUGUCUAUUGAAGCCAUCUAUCCUGAGCCUGCCAAGGAACCUCUCAGUCUUCAGAAUGCAGAGCAUCAAAGUUUCACUCAGAACGUUGAAGGCGUGGAAGCCGUAACUCGUGUGUAUCCUUUGGCUGGCACUACACAUGCACUGCAUCCUGCUCUCACUGAAGCCACUGAUAGUACAACUGCUCCACGACCCAAGAAGCGCACUCGUGUUCUCAACGACCGAGAGCUUCUUGUGGCUCUUCAUCAGAAACAGGAUAGGCCUCAUGACUGGCUGAAGCGUCAGAUGCAAAGCCUCUUGGUGGAUGUUAAUCGCAUUCGCAAUCUUGCUACCAAGAAUGCUUUUGUUGCCCAUGAAACCUCUCGCCGCACAUGGAAAGGGCUAAAGCUGAUGUGUUCUGAAGAUGAUCUUCAAGAGGAUGGCUUCACUGAGCGAUUCAAGUUUGACUCCACACCUCCUCGAAGGGCUGUGCUGCGACGAACUCCAUCCCUUGAAGACUCUAAGUUCUCUUCCUCUACUGCAACUGUGAAUGCCAGAGUGAUCGAGGAUGAAGACGAUGCUACUUCACCACCACCUCCUUCAGCAUGCUUCGACUCUGCUCCAAGCUCUUCAGCACCGCCAAACACCACCAACGACCCUGCUGCUUCACCUACUCCUCAUGGGAACGAGUAGAUGCUCUAUGCCUUCAAACCUUUUUGGUCCUUACUGACAAAAGGGGGAGAAGCAUAUGAGGUUGAUAGUCUCGUAUGUACGGGUCCAUAUGGGCGGGUGCUUUAUAUUUUGCUUCGUGCUUACAACUCUUGUUUUGCUACAUUUGGUUCUUUGAGUUGUAACACUUAAACUCGAUGGUCGUCUGCUACUUAUCUGCCACCUUGUGUUGCGAUGAUAAAUUCCGCACUUAGAUCAUUCUGCAGACGUCCAUUUUCCAUUAUGCAUGUCAUUAUCUUCAUAUACUUUCACAUGCAUAGUGGAUUGUCAUCAUAAGUUGAAGUGGAUCUCCACAAGUACAACCUGCCAUGUGCAUUUGCAUUCCAAAAGCAAAUUACUUAUAUGCACAUCUUCAGGGGGAGCCCUUGCAACUUAUGAAGACAAUUCCUUAUCCUUUACAAUUUCACAGAUUAUAUUCCCCGUUGAAAACUUCAACUAGUUUGUCAUCAAUCACCAAAAAGGGGGAGAUUGUAAGUGCAUCUAGUGCCACCCCUAGUUGGUUUUCGAGUAUUGACGACAAACCUAGUUGAGGGACUAAUGUGUUUGUGAGAAUUGCAGGAUAACACAGGUAGAAGUCCCUCAUUGAUUCGGUUUUCCUACCAGAGAUGACCCCUAAAAAUGUAUGAAGACAUUGAAGUCAAAGGUGGUAUAUGAAGAUAUUCACAUUGAAGACUAUGACAAGAGAAGACACCACAUGAAGCCUAUGGAGCUCGAAGACUUAGAUCUUUCGUAGUUCUCUUUCUUCUGUGUUGAGUCAUAGGAACCACCGUACUGUUAAGUGGGGUCCAAGAGAACCAGUCAGAAUGACUGAAGUGAUGCUUAAACAAAACUAUGUCUUCGAGUGAAGACUUUGAGAGCGAAUCUUGUCCAGAGUCGGGCAAGUCAGCUUUGCUUGAAGCCCAAGUAAAGUUGUCGUGUGAGUUUGAAAUCUGACCGUUGGAACACGUGUCACUUCCUUAGUGACCCAGGGUCAUUUCAGACAAAUCAGGUCGGGUUGCCAAGUGGCUAUAAAUAGCCCACCCCCUACAACCAUAAACGGUUGGCUGCUCAGAUUCAGAGUACGGCUUUUGUCGUUUGAGAGCAACCCACCUCGAAGCCUUUGAGAGAGAAUUCCUUGCGAGGAUAAAGCCCUAACCACCCAGAGCCAAAGAGAAUUAGGCAUCACUUAAGUCUUCUUGUCUGUGUGAUCUAAAGACUUAUUACACUUGAGGACUGUGAAUCCUCCAGCCGGUUAGGCGUCGCGUUCUGAGCAUCCAAGAGACAUUGUGGAUUGCCAGUGAACGAAGUCUGUGAAGGUUUGGGAGUCUACCUUGAAGACUUACCAGAGUGAUUGGGCGAGGUCUGUGUGACCUUAGCUCAAGGGGAAUACGGUGAGGACUGGGUGUCCUGAGCUACGUGUUCAGGACUGGGUGUCCGGGACUGUGUGUCCUAAGGUUUAAAUACCUAGCCGCCCUAACCAGACGUACAGUUGUCACAGCAACUGGAACUGGUCCAACAAACCAUUGUCUUCGGCGAGUCACUGGUUUCAUCUUCCCUUCCCUUUACUUACUGUUACUCCUUGUGAAGUCAUUGUAUGUUCGCACUAUCUUUUGUCUUCACUGAGUGACUAGGUGUUCUGUGUGGCUUCACAAUAUCUUCCUACCUGAUCCUUACUACAUUGCUGCUAUUAGUCAUUGUGCUUUCACUCUAUUGAAUACUUGACUAUGGCUUGCCUAGUGUAGUCUACCUUCCGCUGCAGGGUAAUAGGUUUAUUUCUAUCGUUUGUCUUCAUAACUUCCACAUUUUGAAGACUUUCAUAAAAAUCGCCUAUUCACCCCCCUAGUCGAUAUAACGCACUUUCAGCGUGAGAGGACGACCAAUGCUAAUGAGUUCGCUGUGCUCGAGCUAAGGAAGGACUGCACCAUCUUCUAUAUGGUCAUGGUGACCAAUGUCUUCAGCAGCGAUGGGAUCAGCUGCUAGAAAGUCUUCAGCUUCAUGAGCCUCUGUGAAAGCAGGCUCAUGGAUUGUCAGUUGGUGUUCAGUGUCAGGACGAACCAUAGAAAUGGGUUCAACUAUCAAAGGCUCGGUGGGAGCAGCCCGAUCUUUCUUGGUCUUCCUCUUCUUCUUCGAGGGGCAAUAGGAGAGGCUUCAGGAUGUUUUCUCUUCCUUGCUUCAGCCUCAGCAGUCCUCGUCUUCUUCAGCUCUGAAGCGGUUGACCGGGCCUUUGGCUUCGAGCCAGUCAUGCUAGUUGGGAAGAUAAUGGGAUCUGCUUCCUGCCUUGGUGCGUCGGGUUCAGCCGUAGCAGGCUUCUUCUUCUUCUUUGUGGCCAUCCUGGGGUCGAUGCCAGGACGCCCAAGGGCCUUGCGCUUCUCAGCCUCAUUGUAGGCUUGCACACAUCUGUCAGCCAGAACCUUCAUGCGCUCACGCGAACCCUGAGCUUCUGCACGUUUCUUGAGAAAUGCUUCCUUGAGCUCGUGCAGCAUAAUCUUGAAGUUCUUCACCUCUUGCACGCUGAGCUUGGCCAUAUGCUUCUUGAAUUGAGAUUUCUCAAAGUCAAUCUUCUGCUUCAGUUCAACAAUGCGCUGGGCGAUAGCUAGCUCUGAAGCAAUGGCACCAUGGAAGGUGACACUGAGGCCAAUGGGUAGUUGCAGAUCUUCGAAGCUGAUGUUUGGCGUGUCAAACCACUCAUCAAUGAAGUUGUGGAUGAUGGUUACAUCAAAGAGAGGCAGAUCAUUGAAGAUUUUUGCUUCUUCUUUGCUCUUGAUGAGUUGCUCAAGAGCGUCAUCUGCAAGAUCUUCAUCACUUGACAGAUCAAUGGCAUCAUUGCGCAGAAUGGCAGCAGCUGUUAGCUCUUGGCCGGUGUGUGGCAGAGGCAUCUUGACCUUCUGGGGCUUGGAGAUGCGUGAUAAGUCUUCGGACUGCACACUGUCUUCAGGAGGUGCAGUUGCCAGUGGCUUCGCCCGUGAGAUUUUUGGUGAAGGGGCAGGCUUUGAAGCUUUAGGCUUCUUCAACUUCUUUGGCUUCGGCGCUGCAGGCGCUUCAUCUAAUUCAGCGUCAGCUGCAGGCUCAUUCACUGCAGUCCCUUGAACCAGGAUAUGGGUGAUGAGGCCUUCAAGGUUGUAGAAAGGACCGACGACAUUGGGUUCUGCAUCUCGUGUGCCAUCAGCCCUUGGAGCUGAGGGACCAGGGUUGAAGUCUAGUCCCAAUGUCUUCUUGUUUUGCUUCGCUGAGUUCUGGGCAAACCAGAAGUUGCGCUUGAACAGAAUGUCGUCACGACACCAUAGUAGUGACGAUGGGUGUGCAUUAACAGGCUGUGGCCCACGGACCAUGCAGGGAUAGAAGCCUUGUUCAAUGGCUUCAUCUCUGGACCUGGGUUGAAGAUUCUUGUAUAGGAUGUCUCCCCACGGUCUCUUGAUGGCAUUUUUCUUAGCAUAUUCCUGGGUUACAAAUCGGUAUUUGAACCAUUGUUCUGCCCAAUAUCUUCGAAUCCAUUGGAUUCGGGUCUUGCACUGAUUGUAAUCCUCUUCAGGAUCUGUCUUGUACAGUUCUGAGAGGUCAUCUGGCAGAUCUCUAGAUGUUUCUCCAUGACGCUUUCUGCCACCCUUCCUUGCUGAUUUCUCUGAAGCCAUGAACUUUAAACUGAAAGGCUUCAACAAGUUCAAAGGCUUCAAAGAUUUUCGCUUGCUGGACAAACAGAAACUUGCUUCGGGAGAAUUUAUAUGAUGCUAUAAGAAUUCUGCAAAUGAAUGCAGACUAUGAGAACCAAGGGAUUCUCCCACGGACAUGUACCUGUGACAGCAUUAAGGUGCGAGGGAAGGGGAAGAGGUCAUAUGCAUUCUCAGAAGAUUUUGAAUAUAAAUCAGUUUAGAAGACAUUGACCUCAUCGUGCGAAGACAUCCACUCAUAGAUAAGGAGUUGGUUUCAGAUUUGUACGAAUCCAGAGAUUAGUACAAGUGAGGAAUCUAACUACUUUGUGAAGUACAAGUGAAUAUACUAGGCAUGUUAUGAGAUGCAGUAUGAGAGAGAUCUAACUUGUGUGAAUAGAAACUGCUUGUGGUAGAAAGUGACAAAUCCAUAGGAUCAACGGUGCCGUAAAAAGGAAGUUUUAUUUACCACACUAAGAACUGCUAGACGGAGUGGAAGAUGAGGCCGAGCAGUUCGAUCUUCCGUGCCCUAACUUGGCGACGGAGGACACCUACGGCGACGGCGGAGAGGACGAUGUCCGCGGUCGGCGUGAAGAUGGCGCCGGAGAGGUUGCGACAGCGAAGUGCUUCGUCGCUGGUGUCGUCCAGGGCUAGCGGUGGCGCCAGGGUUCGUGCGAGAGUGGAAGAAGAGAUAAUGACCGCCGUGAAGUGUGUAUUUAUAGGUUCAGGGGCGGCACUGCGUUAUUACAUAGGUGCCCCUAGCGAUUCGCAUCUGAGCAACACGUGGCCAUCAUACAGAAUUUUGGGGUUUGUUCCACGUCCCACGCACGCCUGGAUUGUCGGGUGGUCGUUCCUAUUUCUCCGGGUUUCAUGUGGAGGAAUGAGCAUUGAAAGUGGACUUAAGAUUUGUCUUCGUAUCUUCUGCUGACAGGACGCAGAGAAGACAUUCGACAGUUUCAAUAGAAUGCAUAUGAUUUGGAGAGAUAGAGUUUGAGAUAGAUAGUAUAGAGAGGUUAGGGUCCGAUCACAUUCACUUAGUUCAAAAGAUUCAACUAGAAGACAUAGCUAUAAGUGAAUAUUGUAGAGGACAGAACACUAGUAUAUAUAUAUAUAAUCAACAUAGUGAAGAUAAUCAUGAAGACAUGUUGAGAUUGAAGCCAAACCAAAUAUGAAGAAAUAGCAAGGUAACGCCAUGAGUGAAACACUUCAAAAUAGAACAUUUGGUGGUGGCGUUACCCACCGUAUAGGAAGUAUUAGACCCAGACACGGCGCACGAUUAUCGUGGCGCUCCGAAGUCAAAUUCCACAUUAAUGUAUUCACAGUUAGAAUGUAUGUCUUCAUUGAUUGAAGAUAUACUUUACUUCGUGUGUUGCACAUCUAAGUCAUCAAUAUGCAUAAGGGUUAGGAUGUGUGCCUGAUCACAGGACAUUUGAGGAUUUCAGGAUAUUUAGCUCACACCGUAACUUGCAAAAUCUCUUCUCAUUCAAGGGCUUGGUGAAGAUAUCUACCAAUUGCUCUUCAGUGUUGACGUGUAUGAUAUCAAUAUCUUCCUUCACAACAUGAUCUCUGAGAAAGUGAUGACGAAUUUCAAUGUGCUUUGUCUUCGAGUGCUGAACUGGUUUGUUGGCAAUCUUGAUGGGGCUUUUGUUGUCGCAGUAGAGUGGCACUUGCUUCAGAUGAAUGCCAUAGUCUUUGAGUGUUUGCUUCAUCCACAGAAGUUGAGCGCAGCAAGAUCCAGCAACAAUGUAUUCAGAUUCAGUAGUGGAGAGAGAUACACAGUUCUGCUUCUUUGAAGACCAACGUACAAGUGAUCAUCCCAGAAAGUGACAUGUGCCUGAUGUAGACUUGCGAUCAACUUUGUCACCAGCAUAAUCAGCAUCCGAGAAUCCAAUCAGAUCAAACUCUGAGCCCUUUGGAUACCAUAUUCCUAGAGUUGGGGUGUGAGCCAAAUAUCGAAGAAUUCGCUUCACAGCUAAGUGAUGCGACUCCUUUGGUGCCGCUUGAAAUCAAGCACACAUGCAAACACUAAGCAUAAUAUCUAGCCUAGAUGCACAUAGAUAAAGUAAAGAACCAAUCAUGGAGCGGUAUACCUUUUGAUCGAACUCUUUACCAUUGUCGUCAGGACCCAGAUGAUGCUUGGCUGGCAUUGGCGUCGUGAAGCCUUUGCAGUCUUGCAUACCGAACUUCUUCAGGCAAUCUUUGAGAUACUUCUCUUGAGAUAUGAAGAUGCCGUUGCGUUGCUGUCUUAUUUGAAGACCGAGAAAGAACUUCAUCUCUCCCAUCAUAGACAUUUGAUAUUGCUCUUGCAUCAUAUAUCCAAACUCUUCACUGUACUUCUGAUUGGUGCAGCCGAAGAUAAUGUCAUCCACAUAUAUUUGGCACACAAACAGUUCACCAUCAUAUGUCUUCGUGAAGAGAGUGGGGUCGAGAGAACCAGGUAUGAAGUCUUUGCUCUUCAGGAAGUAUUUGAGUGUGUCAUACCCGGCCCGAGGGGCUUGUUUGAGGCCAUACAGUGCCUUGUUGAGCUUGUAUACCAUGUCAGGAUGUUUUGGAUCUUCAAAGCCAGGAGGUUGUGCAACAUACACUUCUUCUUCAAUCUUGCCAUUGAGGAAGGCGCUCUUCACAUCCAUUUGAUAAAGAAGUAUGUUGUGAUGAUUUGCAUAGGCCAGCAGUAUGCGUAUGGCUUCAAGUCUAGCCACAGGAGCAAAUGUUUCAUCGAAGUCAAUGCCUUCCACUUGAGUAUAUCCUUGAGCAACGAGACGAGCUUUGUUUCUGACAACUUGACCAUGGUCAUCUUGCUUGUUGCGCCAUUUGGUGCCUAUUAUGUUGUGCUUCUGAGGAUCGGGACGCUUGACCAGUUCCCAUACAUUAUUCAGCUCAAACUGUUGAAGCUCGUCUUGCAUAGCUUGAAUCCAUUCAGGUUCCAUGAAGGCUUCUUCAACUUUCUUGGGUUCUGUUAUUGAGACGAAUGCAAAGUGCCCACAGAAAUUUGCUAGCUGAGUUGCCCUUGAACGAGUGAGUGGACCGGGUGCAUUGAUGCUAUCAAUUAUUCUUUCAAUCUGCACUUCAUUGGCAACGCGAGGAUGUACAGGGCGAAGAUUUUGCUCUUGCUGAUCAUUGUCGUUGUUAGAAGGAAUGUCUUCAGGCUGAGCAUUGUCUUCAUGUUGAUCAAGUGCUGAGAUGAUAAGUUCUUCUUCAGGAUGAGCUUCAGAAGGUAUAAUUUCUCCAGUUCCCAUUAGCUUGAUUGAUUCACUGGAUGGAACUUCAUCUAGCACAUUUGGCAGUUGCUCUCUUUGUGAACCGUUGGUCUCAUCGAACCGCACAUCCACUGUUUCAACCACUUUGUAAUGAAAGAGAUUGAAGACUCUGUAGGAGUGCGAAUCCUUUCCAUAUCCAAGCAUAAAACCCUCAUGUGCUUUUGGUGCAAACUUUGAGGUGUGAUGUGGGUCCUUGAUCCAGCACCUGGCACCAAAUACUCUGAAGUAACUGACAUUUGGCUUCUUGCCAGUAAGGAGCUCAUAAGAUGUCUUGUUCAGAAGCUUGUGAAGAUAAACACGAUUGAUUGUAUGGCAUGCAGUAUCAAUGGCUUCAGACCAGAAUUUUCUUGGAGUCUUGUAUUCAUCUAGCAUCGUUCUGGCCAUCUCAAUGAGUGUUCUGUUCUUGUGUUCGAUGACCCCAUUCUGCUGUGGCGUGUACGGGGCUGAGAAUUCAUGUGUGAUGCCCAAGGUAUCAAGAUAUGUAUCAAGGCCAGUGUUCUUGAAUUCAGUGCCAUUGUCACUUCUGAUAUGCUUUAUCUUGGCGCCAUAGUUGUUCAUUGCUCGAUUGGCGAAGCGUCUGAAGACAUCCUGCACUUCAGUCUUGUAAAGGAUUAUGUGCACCCAAGUAUAUCUAGAAUAAUCAUCAACAAUGACAAAGCCAUAGAGACAAGUAGUAGUAGUAAGAGUUGAGUAAUGAGUAGGACCGAAAAGAUCCAUGUGAAGCAGUUCGAAGGGUCGAGUAGUGGUCAUGAUUGUCUUUGAGGGAUGUUUGGCCCUCGUCAUCUUUCCUGCCUCACAGGCACCACAUAAGUGAUCUUUCUUGAACUUGACGCCCUCGAUGCCUAUGACAUGCUUCUUCUUUGCCAGGGUGUGGAGGUUCCUCAUGCCAGCAUGCCCAAGCCUCCGAUGCCAGAGCCAGCAUUCUGAAGCUUUUGCUAGAAGACAUACGGCAAGCUAUGGUCCUGCUGAGAAAUCUACCACGUACAAAUCAUCUUUUCGAUACCCUUCAAAUACUAGAGACUUGUCAAAUUCCAUUAGAACAAGGCAACGAUAUUUUCCAAAUAUUACGAUCAUGUUUAAAUCGCAAAGCAUUGAGACAGACAUUAAGUUGAAGCCAAGGGAUUCAACAAGCAUGACUUUAUCCAUGUGUUGAUCCCUUGAGAUUGCAACUCUACCUAGACCCAAUACCUUACUUUUACCAGUGUCAGCAAAUGUGAUGUGGCUCUUGUCGGAUGGACGUAAGGUUGAGUCCAUAAGAAGGCUUCUUUUGCCAGUCAUGUGAUUUGUACACCCACUAUCAAUAAUCCAUUCUGAGGACGCUGGUGUCGUACCCUACAGUGCAGUUAGGGGGAUAGGCUUCACGAAGAGCAUUGUGAAGCAAAAACAUUUGACGAACCAGUGGGUUAUGAAAGCUUAGAUCCAGAUUAGGACUAAUAGGGAGAGUAGCAAGUGAUUCAGGAACGAAGUACAUAGUAAGACCAUUCGGGCAUUUGAUCUUGCGCCCUACAUCCAGAUUAGGACUAAUAGGGAGACCUUUCCCUGCAAAAGAGAGUUAAGAUUUCUUAGCCACCCACAUCUUCAAGGGUGGCUUAGAAGCAAUAAGUCUAAGUGCAGCAUCUUAGAACUUUGGCUUUGGAGCCCUAGCAAACAGUCUUGCAGGCGGACAAUAGUACUCAUAAGAAUAAGCAGAAUAGUUCUUGGUCUUAUGAACAUGGCGGUUUGAUGAACCGCUCUCAUAUUCAUAUGCCUGAGUAUGGUUUCCCUGCAAAACAUUUGCGUUAGUGCGACUCAGGUGAGUCCUCUGUCUGUAUGAAGCCUUUGGACCGUAUGAAGCCUUUGGUCUGAGGUUUGUCUUCUUCACGUGAGGUGUCAUGAUGACAUUCACAGGAAGAUUCUCCAGACACCUUUUCGGAACCCAGAUCUUCUUCAUAGGCGGUCCAUUCCUGCAGUUAGUACCAAUGUACCUGGCAAACACUUCACCAUUCUGAUUCUUAAACAGUUUAUAGUUUGCAUCAAGGGAUUCAUCAAUGAUAAUGGGGUUAGCACAAGUGAAGCCAGAUAGAUUGGAUGGAUCUGCUGAAGGUUCCUUUGCAGCAACCCACGUGGUUUUGGGGUACUGCUCAGGUUUCCAAUAAGAGCCAUCAGCAUUCAUUUUCCUUACGAACCCAACACCCUCUUUCCUCGGGUUUCGGUUCAGAAUCUGCUUUUUGAGGACAUCACAUAGUGUCUGAUGCCCUUUAAGACUUUUGUACAUCCCUGUUUCAAGCAAUGUCUUCAACCUAGCAUUCUCAUCAGCAAUAGCAGUGGUAUCCUCAGCAGAGGGGUUAGUUACCACAUCAACAGUUGAAGAUAUUGCAACAGUAGUAGUAGUAGAACAUUCAGCAACAGAAGUAGCAUUAUCACGCUCAAUGCAUUUAAGACAUGGUGGUUUAAAUCCUUCCUGAGCGGAACUGAUCUGUUUGGCGCGAAGUGACUCAUUUUCCUUUUGAAGAUCUUCAUGAGCCGCUCUCAAUUUCUCAAGAUCUUGCUUCCUUUGAAGAUAAUCAUAGGAAAGCUUUUCAUGAGUUGUUGAGAGAGUUUCAUGACGACUUUCAAGUUCCUCAUACUUAACGUGAAGAUUUUUUAUGUCUUCAAUUAAGGAUUCAGAUCGAGUCAUUUUAGCACCUAACAGAUCAUCGCUUCUGUCUAACAGUUUUUGAAUAUGUUCCAUAGCUUUCUGUUGUUCAGUUGCAAUUUUAGCAAGUGUUUUAUAGCUGGGUUUUGAACCAUAAUCAGAGUCAUCGUCACUAGAUGUUUGAUAGUGAGUAGUGCGUGUGUUUACCUUGGCACUGCGUGCCAUGAAGCAGUAGGUAGAAGCGGAGUAGUCCUUGUCAUUUGCAUCGGUGUCGGUGAUGAAGUCAUUGUCUUCAGUAUUGAAGAUGGACUUGGCAACGUAUGUUGUAGCCAGACUUGCGAUGCCUGAAUCGGACUCCUCCUCAGACUCCACCUACGCCUCCUCAGAAGCGGACUCCUCCUCUGAAUCCAUUUCCUUGCGAACAAACACACGUGCCUUGCCAGAUGAGCUCUUCUUGUGUGAUUAAGACUUUGAGGAAGACUUGGAAGAAGACUUUGAGUAUUUCUUCUUCUUCUUGUCGUCAGAGUCAUAUUCCUUGAUCUUCUUCUUCUUUUUGUUCUCAUUGUCCCACUGUGGACACUCAGAGAUGAAGUGGCCAGGUUUCUUGCACUUGUGACAUGUUUUCUUCUUGUAGUCAUGAGCAGAAGCUUCAUCAUUCCUUGAGCUUGAUCGGGAAGACUUUCUGAAACCUUUCUUCUUGGUGAAUUUUUGGAACUUCUUCACAAGCAUAGCAAGUUCCCUUCCAAUGUCUUCAGGAUCAUCCGAACUGCUGUCAGAUUCUUCUUCAGAUGAGGAGACAGCUUUUGCCUGUAAGGCACGAGUUCGCCCAUAGUUUGGACCGUAGAUAUCUCUUUUCUCAGAAAGCUGAAACUCAUGUGUGUUGAGCCUCUCAAGUAUGUCAGGCGGAUCGAGUGUCUUGAAAUCAGGACGUUCUUGAAUCAUCAGGGCUAGGGUGUUAAACGAACUAUCAAGUGAUCUCAGUAGUGUCUUGACGACUUCAUGUUUGGUGAUCUCAGUAGCGCCGAGGGCUUGAAGCUCAUUUGUGAUGUCAGUGAGUCGGUCAAAUGUGAGCUGGACAUUCUCAUUGUCAUUUCGCUUGAAGCGGUUGAAGAGGUUGCGAAGGACACUGAUUCUCUGAUCUCUCUGGGUUGAGACGCCUUCAUUGACCUUGGAGAGCCAGUCCCAGACCAGCUUAGAUGUUUCCAAAGCACUCACACAGCCAUACUGUCCUUUGGUCAGAUGACCACAUAUGAUAUUCUUGGCAGUAGAGUCCAGUUGAACGAACUUCUUGACAUCAGCAGCAGUGACACCUUCUCCAGCCUUGGGAACGCCGUUCUUGACGACAUACCAUAGGUCGACGUCAAUGGCUUCAAGAUGCAUGCACAUCUUAUUCUUCCAGUAGGGAUAUUCAGUUCCAUCAAAGACGGGGCACGCAGCGGAGACUUUAAUUAUCCCUGCAGUCGACAUAGCUAAAACUCUAGGUGGUUAAACCGAAUCACACAGAAUAAGGGAGCACCUUGCUCUGAUACCAAUUGAAAGUGCAUUAUAUCGACUAGAGGGGGGGUGAAUAGGCGAUUUUUAUGAAAGUCUUCAAAACGUGGAAGUUAUGAAGACAAACGAUAGAAAUAAACCUAUUACCCUGCAGCGGAAGGUAGACUACACUAGGCAAGCCAUAGUCAAGUAUUCAAUAGAGUGAAAGCACAAUGACUAAUAGCAGCAAUGUAGUAAGGAUCAGGUAGGAAGAUAUUGUGAAGCCACACAGAACAUGCAGUCACUCAGUGAAGACAAAAGAUAGUGCAAACAUACAAUGACUUCACAAGGAGUAACAGUAAGUAAAGGGAAGGGAAGAUGAAACCAGUGACUCACCGAAGACAAUGAUUUGUUGGACCAGUUCCAAUUGCUGUGACAACUGUACGUCUGGUUAGGGCGGCUAGGUAUUUAAACCUUAGGACACACAGUCCCGGACACCCAGUCCUGAACACGCAGCUCAGGACACGCAGUCCUCACCGUAUUCCCCUUGAGCUAAGGUCACAUAGACCUCGCCCAAUCACUCUGGUAAGUCUUCAAGGUAGACUCCCAAACCUUCACAGACUUCAUUCACCGGCGAUCCACAAUGUCUCUUGGAUGCUCAGAACGCGACGCCUAACCGGCUGGAGGAUUCACAGUCCUCAAGUGUAAUAAGUCUUCAGAUCACACAGACAAGAAGACUUAAGUGAUGCCUAAUUCUCUUUGGCUCUGGGUGGUUAGGGCUUUUAUCCUCGCAAGGAAUUCUCUCUCAAAGGCUUCGAGGUGGGUUGCUCUCAAAUGACAAAAGCCGUACUCUGAAUCUGAGCAGCCAACCGUUUAUGGUUGUAGGGGGUGGGCUAUUUAUAGCCACUUGGCAACCCGACCUGAUUUGUCCGAAAUGACCCUGGGUCACUAAGGAACUGACACGUGUUCCAACGGUCAGAUUUUAAACUCACACGGCAACUUUACUUGGGCUUCAAGCAAAGCUGACUUGCCUGACUCUGGACAAGAUUCGCUCUCAAAGUCUUCACUCAAAGACAUAGGUUUUGUUUAAGCAUCACUUCAGUCAUUCUGACUGGUUCUCUUGGACCCCACUUAACAGUACGGUGGUUCCUAUGACUCAACACAGAAGAAAAAGAACUACGAAAGAUCUAAGUCUUUGAGCUCCAUAGGCUUCAUGUGGUAUCUUCUCUUGUCAUAGUCUUCAAUGUGAAUAUCUUCAUAUACCACCUUUGACUUCAAUGUCUUCAUACAUUUUUAGGGGUCAUCUCUGGUAGGAAAACCGAAUCAAUGAGGGACUUCUACCUGUGUUAUCCUGCAAUUCUCACAAACACAUUAGUCCCUCAACUAGGUUUGUCGUCAAUACUACAAAACCAACUAGGGGUGGCACUAGAUGCACUUACAUCAUCGCCAUCAGGAAGGAUGCCUCGCCCCGUCUUUAAAGACGACACCGUUGCUAAGGGAGCUUUGGCCGUCGGCCAAACCCUCCGGCUAGGUGGUUUUCUUAUGACCGCCUGUUCGGCUUCUGCGCUGACGAUGACCUCUCGAGCCAUCGAAAACAAUCUUCAUGUUAGCUCGGAACUCGCCGAGCAGUUGGAUCCAAUGGAGCUCUCCUCCAUAAACGAGCUCUUGGAUCGCAUCGCCGCCCUGGGAGUCGCUACGGAUUACGACCAGAUUGGACCUAAACCCGAUCUGAGAGAGAUUAACUCUCCCCAAGUCACCCAUCACGUUGCCGUGGUAGAGGGACAGUGCGGCGACCCUUCAUCUAUCUUAAGGACUAGCUACGUCUGGAUUCUCGAUCCCUCCAAGCCGGAUACCCGCGGAGGGGAGGAUAUCACUCAAGACCUGAACUUACAGUCAGGCGACGGGCUGGAUUCAUUGGACAACAUCCAGGAAUCCAAAUUUUCGAGUUCGGAAAUUCCUCGGCCUCUGAGCCUCAGAUUAGGUGAGGCUUCGGAUUUAAUUCCACCCACCCACCCGAACAUAAGCGAUCUAUCCCAAAUCAGGCAAGAGCCCGAUGAAAUAGUGCAUCAUUACUGGGCCAGAUUCCUCCUGGUUAGGAACAGGAUAAGGGACUGCCGUGAGGAAGACGGAAUCUCAAUCUUCUGCAAUAAUUGCACGGACAAGGGAAUCCUCAA
rnacentral:lncRNA from 1 species